rnacentral:tRNA from 1 species
AGGGGUAUGAUGUAAUGGUAACAUGAUGGUCUCCAAAACCAUUCUUGAGGGUUCAAGUCCUUCUACCCCUGCCA